AUCGCUUCUCUGCCUUUUGGCUAGGAUCAAAGUUUAGUUCCUGUUCUUAUUGAAUCAACACUCGAUAGAGAUUCGAAUGAAUCUCGUUAAGAUUAUUUGAUUUUUUUUUGACCGGAUGGGGUGGCGGCCUUGCUCGCACAUCAUCCGCGGGUCGGCCCAGCGUUGCACUGCUGCUGGUCUUGGCCCACCUCCU
rfam:Ancylostoma duodenale strain Zhejiang A_duodenale-1.0_Cont243920.1, whole genome shotgun sequence.